rnacentral:rRNA from 1 species
CCUACGGGUGGCAGCAGUGAGGAAUAUUGGUCAAUGGGCGCAAGCCUGAACCAGCCAAGUCGCGUGAGGGAUGACGGUCCUAUGGAUUGUAAACCUCUUUUGUCGGGGAGCAAGGCCCGCCACGUGUGGCGUGAAGGCGAGUACCCGAAGAAAAAGCAUCGGCUAACUCCGUGCCAGCAGCCGCGGUAAUACGGAGGAUGCGAGCGUUAUCCGGAUUUAUUGGGUUUAAAGGGUGCGUAGGCGGAAGGUUAAGUCAGCGGUAAAAUGUCGGUGCUCAACACCGGCCUGCCGUUGAAACUGGUAUUCUUGAGUGAGCGAGAAGUAUGCGGAAUGCGUGGUGUAGCGGUGAAAUGCAUAGAUAUCACGCAGAACUCCGAUUGCGAAGGCAGCAUACCGGCGCUCAACUGACGCUGAGGCACGAAAGCGUGGGGAUCGAACAGGAUUAGAUACCCGGGUAGUC